CUAAUAUUCUAACUCCGGUGUAUGACACGGACUCUAGUGGAAAUUCAUUUGAUUUAAAUUCUUUUCACCAAAGAGGGAAAAAGGGUAGGGGUGUUUAGAUGGUGUUCUCUGACCACUCGAGAGAACUGAAAAGGAAACAUUGUACGCUACACAAUGUACCCGAGUGUGUAGUGUAAUGUAAUGUAAUGAUGUGGUGACUGGUGAGAAAAUACUAUGGCUGAAUGUGCUUUUGGGAGGUUCUAGGAAUGAUAUCAGGCCCCCAUCUUUUGAAUAUACUCUGAUAAUAUGCCGUACAGCAUAUUAAGG
rnacentral:sRNA from 1 species